AUCUUAUAAGUACUUUAGGUAUGUUUGCCUUCCAAGCAAAAGGUUUAGUGAAAACUAAAUAGGAUA
rnacentral:tRNA from 1 species